rnacentral:misc_RNA from 1 species
UCCGAGUUGACCCCGGCAGUCUCUCACGAGUCCCCACCAUAACGUGCUGGCAACAUAAGAUAAGGGUUGCGCUCGUUGCGAGACUUAACCCAACAUCUCACGACACGAGCUGACGACAGCCAUGCACCACCUGUACACCAACCACAAGGGAAGCCCUAUCUCUAGGGAUGUCUAGCGCAUGUCAAGCCCAGGUAAGGUUCUUCGCGUUGCAUCGAAUUAAACCACAUGCUCCGCUGCUUGUGCGGGCCCCCGUCAAUUCCUUUGAGUUUCAGCCUUGCGGCCGUACUCCCCAGGCGGGGCACUUACUGCGUUAGCGACGGCACUCAGGGGGUCGCUCCCCCAAGCACCUAGUGCCCAUCGUUUACGGCGUGGACUAC